rnacentral:rRNA from 1 species
GACGAACGCUGGCGGCGUGCCUAAUACAUGCAAGUAGAACGCUGAAGGAGGAGCUUGCUUCUCUGGAUGAGUUGCGAACGGGUGAGUAACGCGUAGGUAACCUGCCUGGUAGCGGGGGAUAACUAUUGGAAACGAUAGCUAAUACCGCAUAACAGUAGAUAUCGCAUGAUAUCUACUUGAAAGGUGCAAUUGCAUCACUACCAGAUGGACCUGCGUUGUAUUAGCUAGUUGGUGAGGUAACGGCUCACCAAGGCGACGAUACAUAGCCGACCUGAGAGGGGGAUCGGCCACCCUGGGACUGUGACCCGGCCCAGACUCCUACGGGAGGCAGCAGUAGGGAAUCUUCGGCAAUGGACGGAAGUCUGACCGAGCAACGCCGCGUGAGUGAAGAAGGUUUUCGGAUCGUAAAGCUCUGUUGUAAGAGAAGAACGAGUGUGAGAGUGGAAAGUUCACACUGUGACGGUAUCUUACCAGAAAGGGACGGCUAACUACGUG